UCGGGAAUUUUGGGCAAUGGGCGAAAGCCUGACCCAGCAACGCCGCGUGAGGGAUGAAGUAUUUCGGUAUGUAAACCUCGAAAGAAUGGGAAGAAUAACUAAGUUUGGAGCUUAGUAUGACUGUACCCUCAGAGAAAGCCCCGGCUAACUACGUGCCAGCAGCCGCGGUAAUACGUAGGGGGCAAGCGUUGUCCGGAUUUACUGGGUGUAAAGGGCGCGCAGGCGGAAUGGAAAGUCAGUGGUGAAAUCCUACAGCUUAACUGUAGAACUGCCUUUGAUACUUUCAUUCUUGAGUUCGGGAGAGAGAGACGGAAUUCCAGGUGUAGUGGUGAAAUACGUAGAUAUCUGGAAGAACACCAGUUGCGAAGGCGGUCUCUUGGUCCGAUACUGACGCUGAGGCGCGAAAGCGUGGGGAGCAAACA
rnacentral:rRNA from 1 species